AGAAAAUAUUGCACUAAAAGGAACUGCAAGUCAAAGCAGCACUGCUUAUAAUGGACCAGCUAACUAUGCUAUUGAUGGAAAUGAUGGUUCCAUAUAUGGUGAUAAAAGUUGCAGCCAUACUGCAAAGGAAGGGGGCGCUUGGUGGAAACUAGAUUUGGGAGAUACAUACUCUAUAUCUCAAGUGGUAUUAACAAAUCGACAGGACUGUUGUUCUGAAAGAAUUGACGGUGCUGUGGUGUUAAUUGGUGGCAGUUCUGAUAUAAGCCAAAAUGAUCAAUGCGGAGAUCAAAUAGACUGGAACGCAAAUACAUAUGAAGAGAAGAUCAGAUUUGAUUGUCAGCUCAGUGGGCGUUAUGUUGCCGUACAACUGAAAGAUCAUAACAACUAUCUACACCUGUGUGAAGUGGAGGUGUUUGGUGAGAAGCAAUCAUUACCGGAAAAUAUUGCACUAAAAGGAACUGCAAGCCAAAGCAGCACUGCUUAUAAUGGACCAGCUAACUAUGCUAUUGAUGGGAAUGAUGAUUCCAUAUAUGGUGAUAAAAGUUGCAGCCAUACUGCAAAGGAACAGGGCGCUUGGUGGAAACUAGAUUUGGG